rnacentral:miRNA from 1 species
GCUGCUUGGUGAUCAUCCACUGU